UUUUCCUAACACAGAUAAUGAAAUUGAUAUCUAAAAUCAAGAGAAGAGAAGAAGCCCGAAGGGAGAAAUGAAGAAUAAAAUGAAGAUCAAACCAUACCACACCAAUUUCUCUUUUGUCCUGCUUUUGAUGAUUUUGCUCCAUUUCUCCAUAUGUAGAGCAGGUUCGGCUAAAAAGAGCAACUCAAUGAUCUCUGGGAGAUGUAAUACCGCCAUUGGCGAAUGCUUAACAGAUGAAGGAGAAGGAGGAGAAGAGUUCUUGAUGGAAUCAAAGAUGAUUAGAAGGUUUCUUGCUUCAACAAUUAGUGAUAACUCUGUAAAGAAGGGUGCGGUAUGUAAUGCAAUGCGGUACGACAAUUGCAUGUUGCUCGCCAAUAAAAAUAGUCGGCAUUGUACCACCUACGAUCACUGCCAAUGCAGUCCCCGUCCCCGCUGAAUUGAUGAUCAAGCCACAAUCGUCUUUUCAUGUGAUGUCGUGAGUAAUCUGGAACAUAUGGGAGAAUUUCAGGCCUCUUGGUUCUUCUUGAUUCGUUUUUCUUGUUUUGUGAUUGUAAUAAUGCGUGUAUGUCUUUAAAUAACAGUGUGAUUAAAUGUCACAAUCAUCCUUAUUAUUAUCUCC